rnacentral:tRNA from 10 species
GGGUGAUUAGCUCAGUUGGUAGAGCAGCUGACUCUUAAUCAGCGGGUCACAGGUUCGAGCCCUGUAUCACCCACCA